rnacentral:rRNA from 1 species
GGGCAGCGGGGGCGAAGCUUGCUUCGCCUGCCGGCGACCGGCGCACGGGUGAGUAACACGUAUGCGACCUGCCCCCCGCAGGGGGAUAACCGGGAGAAAUCCCGACUAAUACCGCGUAACGCCGCGGGGCUGCAUGGCCCCGCGGCCAAAGGAAGCGAUUCCGGCGGGGGAUGGGCAUGCGGCGCAUUAGCUAGUCGGCGGGGUAACGGCCCACCGAGGCGACGAUGCGUAGGGGUUCUGAGAGGAAGGUCCCCCACACUGGUACUGAGACACGGACCAGACUCCUACGGGAGGCAGCAGUGAGGAAUAUUGGUCAAUGGGCGUAAGCCUGAACCAGCCAAGUCGCGUGAGGGAAGACGGUCCUACGGAUUGUAAACCUCUUUUGCCGGGGAGCAACGGGGUCCUUGCGAGGGCCUUAUGAGAGUACCCGGAGAAAAAGCAUCGGCUAACUCCGUGCCAGCAGCCGCGGUAAUACGGAGGAUGCGAGCGUUAUCCGGAUUUAUUGGUUUAAAGGGUGCGUAGGCGGGCUGUUAAGUCAGCGGUCAAAUGUCGGGGCUCAACCCCGGCCUGCCGUUGAAACUGGCGGCCUCGAGUGGGCGAGAAGUAUGCGGAAUGCGUGGUGUAGCGGUGAAAUGCAUAGAUGUCACGCAGAACUCCGAUUGCGAAGGCAGCAUACCGGCGCCCGACUGACGCUGAGGCACGAAAGCGUGGGUAUCGAACAGGAUUAGAUACCCUGGUAGUCCACGCAGUAAACGAUGAAUGCUAGCUGUCCGGUUCUACGGGACUGGGUGGCAC